rnacentral:rRNA from 1 species
AUGGCUCCGCCGCUCCUCCUCGCACUGCUCCUCGCGGCGGCCGCCGUCGCCCUCGCAUCCUCGGCGGCCACCGUGGUGUUCCCCAAGGAGGCGCUGCCGACCAGCUCGGGUUACCUCUCCGUCGACCCGUCCGCCAACGCCUCCCUCUUCUACGCCUUCUACGAGGCCAGCGCCCCGCUCGCCGCCGCGCCGGCCGACACGCCGCUGCUCCUCUGGCUGCAGGGAGGGCCCGGCUGCUCGGGCCUCGUCGGCGACCUCUUCGAGCUCGGCCCCUACCUCGCCGCCCCCGACGGCGCCUCGCUCUCCCGCAACCCCUUCGCCUGGAACCGCCGCUUCGGGCUGCUCUUCCUCGACAGCCCGCUCGGCACCGGCUUCAGCGCCGCGCCGUCGCCCGCCCUCAUCCCCACCAACCAGACCGCCGUCGCCGCGCACAUCCUCGCCGCCCUCCAGUCCUUCUUCGACGCCAGCCCGCCCUCGUUCCGCAGGCGCCCGUUCUUCCUCUCCGGCGAGAGCUACGCCGGCAAGUACGUGCCGGCCGCCGGGGCGCACAUCUUCGCCGCGAACCCGACGCUGCCGGCGGGGCGGAGGGUCAACCUCCGCGGCGUGGCCAUCGGGAACGGGCUCACGCACCCGGUCGCGCAGGUGGCCACGCACGCCGACUCGGCCUACUUCACGGGGCUCAUCAACGCGCGGCAGCGCGGGGAGCUGGAGGCGCUCCAGGCGGAGGCGGUGGCGCUGACGAAGGCCGCGCGGUGGCGGGAGGCGUCGGACGCGCGGGGCCGCGUGCUCGACUGGCUGCAGAACGCCACGGGCCUCGCCACGCUCUACGACUACGCCAAGCAGCGGCCGUACGCGUCGGCGGGCGUCGGCAAGUUCGUCAACCGGCCGGAGGUCAAGGCGGCGCUGGGCGCGCGCCCGGACGUGACGUGGGAGGAGUGCAGCGACGCGGUGGGCGCGGCGAUGCACGAGGACAUCAUGAAGAGCGUGCUGCCGGAGGUGGAGGCGCUGCUCCGGCAGACGCGCGUGCUCCUCUACCAGGGCAUCCGCGACCUCCGGGACGGCGUCGUGUCGCAGGAGGCGUGGAUGAAGGAGCUGCGCUGGGGCGGCCUGCGUGCGUUCCAGGACGCCGACCGCGCCGUGUGGCGGACCGGCGAAGGGGACGGGCAGGAGCUCGCCGGUUACGUGCAGCGGUCGGGGGCGCUGACGCAUGUGGUGGUGUACGGCGCUGGGCACCUCGUGCCGGCGGACAAUGGGCGCGCCACGCAGGAGAUGAUUGAGGGCUGGGUCACGCAGACGGGCGUAUUCGGCAGCGGCAUGAGGUCGCGCGGUCUGCUGCCGGCCGGCAACCCAAACCAGGCGACGGCGACCUAA